rnacentral:rRNA from 1 species
GAUGAACGCUAGCGGCAGGCUUAACACAUGCAAGUCGAGGGGCAGCAUGAACCGACCUUCGGGAAGGUUUGAUGGCGACCGGCGCAAGGGUGCGUAACGCGUGAGCAACUUGCCCGUUUCUGGGGAAUAACCGGUGGAAACGCCGACUAAUACCCCAUAGUAUAACGAAGAGGCAUCUUUUUGUUAUUAAAGAACUUCGGAAACGGAUAGGCUCGCGUGACAUUAGCUAGAUGGCGGGUAACGGCCCACCAUGCCCACGAUGUCUAGGGGUUCUGAGAGGAAGGUCCCCCACACUGGAACUGAGACACGGUCCAGACUCCUACGGGAGGCAGCAGUGAGGAAUAUUGGUCAAUGGCCGGAAGGCUGAACCAGCCAAGUAGCGUGAAGGAUGAAGGUUCUAUGGAUUGUAAACUUCUUUUAUACGGGAAUAAAACCACCUACGUGUAGGUGCUUGUAUGUACCGUAUGAAUAAGCAUCGGCUAACUCCGUG